rnacentral:lncRNA from 1 species
CCAACACUUCUGUCGCUUCGGCCAGAAGUCAUCACACUUCAGGAGGGAGUAUCACAAGCUCUCUCCAUCGUUAAGGUUCCGAGUUUCAAGGCAACCUUCGAGUGUCGAGUAUCUUUGAUUCGUCGUUUGCUCUAUCUCUAGUAACCCUACGCUAAUCUAAAGGUAUAAAUUGUCCGUAAAUUUAACCAUAGGCUGAGCUACGAUUCGUACGACCAAGUCUACGCCCAGAGUGGCUAGCAAUAGGGUUAGCAGAGUCUAAUUUACGUCCAGAGUGGCUAAAUUACGAUUUGUGAAUCUAGUUUCGGACCUUAGUUACAAUUUGAAGGGUAAUUUAUAUGAAAGAUUAGCUAAGGAAAAACAAUAGAUAGUUCACCGACAGUCACAUACUUCGAAAAACACUCGUCCCAAAAAAUUGUGUAUCACCAAAGCACAAUCUUCGAGGGGAGUAUCAUAAGCUCUCCCGGCACUUCUGUCGCUUCGGCCAGAAGUCGUCAAAAUUCGGGGGGGAACUAUAACAAGCUCUCCCGACACUUCUGUCGCUUCGGCCAGAAGUCGUCAAAAUUCGAGAGGGAGUAUCAUAAGCUCUCCCGGCACUUCUGUCGCUUCGGCCAGAAGUCGUCUAAUUUCGGGGGGAGUAUCACAAGCUCUCCCGACACUUCUGUCGCUUCGGCCAGAAGUCGCCAAGGACAAAUUUGAGCAAAGGAAGGGCUUCACGAAAG